rnacentral:pre_miRNA from 1 species
GGGGGGAGGUCGAAUCCUUGGCUGUGUCCAUGCGCCCUGUGUUCCCGGGCUUGCGCUGUUGGAAUCAUGCUCCCCGCUGGGCUGCCCCCU